rnacentral:rRNA from 1 species
CAAACCAAAGCUGGCGACCGGCGCGCGGGUGAGUAACACGUAUCCAACCUGCCUCAUACUCGGGGAUAGCCUUUCGAAAGAAAGAUUAAUAUCCGAUAGCAUAUAUUUCCCGCAUGGGUUUUAUAUUAAAGAAAUUCGGUAUGAGAUGGGGAUGCGUUCCAUUAGUUUGUUGGGGGGUAACGGCCCACCAAGACUACGAUGGAUAGGGGUUCUGAGAGGAAGGUCCCCCACAUUGGAACUGAGACACGGUCCAA